rnacentral:lncRNA from 1 species
AUUUCAAUUAUCAAUUCUAUUUAUCUACAUUUUUAAUUUACGGUAGAAAAUAUUAUGAUAAAUGUAAAAGCUUGUGUUAACCCAACAUACUUACUAAAUUAACACAACAACCCAUUUGGCUCUUUCAAUUCGGGAUUGAUAUUUCAUUGCCCAAAAUAAAAAAAUAAAAAAAAACAAAUAUUGACAAGAACAAUGCCCUUUUCUAACUCUUAAUCAAGAUUAUAUUUACAUCCAGUAAAAGAUGUAUUCAAACACAGUAAUAUAAAUAUCACCAAAUAAUAGGAGAAUAACAACAUUUGAGACUUUCACAUUGAUUUAACAGUUGAAUAAUCAACAUAACUGCAUCAAACUAAAUCUUUAAAGCUUGAAGCUUAAUCAACGUAAUGAUAGAAGUAAGGAAAUGGACCUUGAAUAUUCAACGGCUUUAAAUAUAGUGAUAAGAAUAUAUUUUUAACAAAUACGGAAUAUCAUUCGAAGUGAAUAGAUUCAGAAACAAAGCCAGGCCUUUACCGGCUAACUCCUAAUUGACCAUACGCCGGAACCUUGAAUCAAGACCUUGUCAGAACCUUUUCCGGACUGUUUUCCCAGAAACUUUGGAGCUCUUUCGGGGUUGGUUCCAACUGGUUCUAGCGAUGUUUUUCAGCUCACUUUAAGGAUGGAGGAGGGUGGGUUUCUACUAUGUUUGGACUGGUUUUCAGAGACGAUUUGCUGCUGUGUUUUUUUUUAGGGAAAGGGUGGUUAUUUCGCUGUAUUUGACGUGAAUUUCGUGGCUGAUGGUAGCUACCUUUCUCUUUUUCGAUUGCUU